rnacentral:rRNA from 1 species
GACGAACGCUGGCGGCGUGCUUAACACAUGCAAGUCGAGCGGUAAGGCCCCUUCGGGGGUACACGAGCGGCGAACGGGUGAGUAACACGUGAGCAAUCUGCCCUUCACUUUGGGAUAACCACCGGAAACGGUGGCUACUACCGAAUACGACCACUUCCGGCAUCCGAUGGUGGCGGAAAGUUCCGGCGGUGAAGGAGGAGCUCGCGGCCUAUCAGCUCGUUGGUGGGGUAACGGCCCACCAAGGCAACGACGGGUAGCCGGCCUGAGAGGGUGACCGGCCACACUGGGACUGAGACACGGCCCAGACUCCUACGGGAGGCAGCAGUGGGGAAUAUUGGACAAUGGGCGAAAGCCUGAUCCAGCAACGCCGCGUGAGGGAUGACGGCCUUCGGGUUGUAAACCUCUUUCAGCAGGGACGAAGCGCAAGUGACGGUACCUGCAGAAGAAGCACCGGCCAACUACGUGCCAGCAGCCGCAGUAAUAC